UAUGUACAGAGUUUUAUUUCUCAAUGUACAUAGAGCUGUGUCUGCAGACAGUAUGCAGAUGCAUGGGUGGAGGUAUAGUUCGACGCAUUCUUUCUUGGAGAUUACAUAGAAAUGCUGUCAAUAUCUUGACUAAAUAGCAUUGCACAGUAUGAUGAGUGAUGAACUGGGAAAACCUGAGCAAAUUACUAUUCUGGCAAUUGCCUGGACAGACUAAGGAACACCAUGGAAAGCCUCUGUCAGGAUAGCUGGUAUCCCAGCCAGGAUUCAAACUAAACACCUCCCUGAUAUGUUGCAAGAAUGAAAUCCUGUUUGACAUAUUCAGUAACAUGCAAUAUUAACUUUGGCGCCUAACAAUGGUAUUCGUACUUAAAAAAUCACUGUCUUCUGGGCUGCACCACUCUGCAGUCUCACCAAGAGCUACCAUUUCAGAAAAACCUGCUCUACUCUUCAGCAUGAUCAUAAGGAUCUACCCAUCCAAGAAUACAUCUUCUUAAUCACUACUGUCUCAUGAGAUGUUCGCACAGCAAUGACUUGUGUUUAUGGUAUUUUGGCAUGACACUGUGUACAUUAGCAGCCAGGCCAUCAAAAGUACGUGGCCUAUCAUCAUCUAAAUUUUGGUGUAAUGCUUGACCAGGUUCAAUGUUUCCCCACAACAGCCAGGCCUUUUACCUUUCAGUGCAAGGUAAAUUCUACCCAGUAUCUGAAAUGUCACAUUAUCCAUAGGCCUCUGCUUCCAGAACAGUGUCUUCAGUCUUAUAAUUGUGAUCUUUCUUUGAGCUUCCUCUUACAAUUUCUCUCCAGGCAACUGUUUUGGAACCAAUAACAAAUACCAAUUACUUUCCCAUUCAUGUUGAUAUUACAAGCUUUACUCACUGAGAAAUUCACAUAUGCCUGCUGUUAUUGUAGCAGAAGACUUUCUUCCUUGUCUGGUGAUACAAAUAAAAUACAAAUAGCUUCAAGUAACAAUAAAGAGAUCCCAAAAAAAGGUGAAAUCAUUCAAAUCACAGUGAAGGGUUAUAUGACUUACAAAGGAUGAUGAAACAAUAUGAUGCAAAACAAUCAGCAGUGGAAAAUGACUGAGAAACGAAGUUUUGUCAAAACAAUCAUAAAUAUUUCUCAAAAUAGGGCAUUAUUAAAUGGGACAAAAACCCGAUUUAUAGAAUAUUAAAUAAACAAGACAGGGCAGAGCACUUACGAGGAUUAAACCCCACAAAACACAAAGAAAAAGAAAAUACAAGCAUGUUCUUAGAAGAGACGCAAUGCAAAUGCCUCCUCACGAAGACAUUCUGUGAGCAAAAAAAAGUCUGUUCUUAUGUCAGUGUAUGCUGUUAACACUGGUAAAUGCUCUUUACAAAUAAGGUAAGCCAACACUUACAGAGCCCUACGCCCUAGCAAAACACAGACAACAGCAUGAAUUCAACAUCCAUGUCACAAGUAAAAAUAAAACUUGCAAGCAUUAUCUCUCUCUUACUGUUUCCCUGCCAAUGGGACACAUUCUGCCAGUCUGAUCUAAACAAUGGAUUAAAGCCUGGUGUUCCAAUAUAUGUAACUGAAAAAAAAAAAUACUGUUAUGCUCUUCUGGGAUGUGACAUCAUGACAGGUACUGAUAUUUUGAAGUAUCCUACUGCCCUGAAGAUCGAGGUACCUGGGAUGUGCUGCUGUCUAGUUAGUAUCUUGAGUACAGUAGUGCCAUGUAUUAUCAUUCAUUAAUUUAUGAAAUCAUUCUCAUUAUUCUGACAUAGGCUUCGAUAUGUAAACAGGCCAGUUUUGUGUGUACUGUUCAAGAGUCCCCAAGCUGAGAAGUGUUCUGCAAUAUUUACAUUACCUUACCCAAUUUGAUCCUUCCAGUUAUUUCACUAUGGAGUUCAGAAUCUAUAUUCUUGGAGUGGGGGAAGGAGGUCUCCUUCUCUGACAAAGACUCUAGACUCUAGACCAGCAAUUCCCAACGAUCAUGAAAAAUAGUUAUAUUCUUCCUUUCAUGCGCAGACCUGAUUUGACCACUUCUACACAUUUAAACCUUCAUUUGGUAAAAAUAAGAACCAUGAAUUUUGAAUACAGCACAAAUACUUUUCCAAAACAGAUAAGCAUUCUUUAAUUGAAUUAUUUAAAAAUAAUUCUGUCACAUGAAAAUCUGCUGGUACUUUUUAUCCAAGGAGUCCUCUGGAUGCACCUUCUGGGGUUCACAAACCACAGUUCAGGAACUACUGUGCUACAGAAAAGCAAACUGAUUGGAUGUUGGACUGCCUUACUGCUGAUGGUUUAUUCUUGUACUUGACCAGACACCUGUAAUCUGGGAAAAUGAUCAGGUAGAGAGAGGCUUGGUAGAAUUCAUAAUUUCUCAGCGUUAAAACACAGAUGGGUAAAGAACUUUCAAUUUGUAUUUUAUUUGGCAAUGAGUAACCAGUGCUUUGUACAAAGAGAGCACAAUUAAACUUGACAGCCUAAUAUAUGCCAUACAUUUGGACAGAGACCAAAGAACACGUAAGGCUCAACCAUUACAAAUGGAGUUAAAGCAAUGAGCAAAGAUUACACUUGGUACAAUUUGUUGUUCGUCUUAGCACCAUACAGUCGGAGAUGCCACUUCAUUCUUACAUGAGGAUACUAUAGCAUUUAAAUAAAAUUCUACCAAGCCUAGGUUUGAGGAGGUAUUAGAAACGAGUGCUGUAUCACGGAACCAGUCAGACUUAUAUAUUCUCAUCACACUGAAGCCUCAGCUGUACACUACACCAGUCUGUACGUCUGCCGCUUGGCGACAUGUUGACCAUGCACACACCACACACCCACUCUCACGCAUUCAUUCACUCUUGCCUAGCAAUUGGAACCAGUAAAACAAUUUGCGUGCAAGCCCUUGGCUUGAACCUUGAUCCUCCCGUCUGGUUUCAUUCACAACAACAGUAUAUGUUACAAAGCAUUCCAGCAAGGUCACUUUUAAAAAUAACUUACAAUAGCCUUAUUAUUUUCUAUCAAAAAAGAGGAGAAAAUAAGGAUAUGAUUAAAUGUUUGAUUAAAUUUCAGUUGCCUUUGCUGUUUCUCCCAUUUCAUUCCUUCGGACUGCUAUAGUUUCCAGAUUCUUCUGAUAAUAAAAAGUGAUCCUUUAGGAAAUCAACAUAAUUACAAUGGUACAAAAAAAACCAGACAAAAAUAGUUGACUGUACACAUGCGGUCAACGAUGGAAGCAGAAAGCAUUAUCAGCAGGAGAGAGAGAAAAGAGAGUUGGGGGGGGGGGAAGUGUUGAAAUAUUCACGGAAUACUUCCACACACUAGGGGGUCAGUUCGCUCGCUCGUACUUCUUCCUUCCGUGUAUGUUCUCUAAAGCUUUACACUACGUAUUUAUAAGUUUCACUUUUAUUAUUAAUUAUAAUUGUCUCCAUAUUACUCUUCCACACACGGGGGGAAUAACAAAACAAACACAUCCCUACUUCCGCGAGCAUCGUACAGAAGAUGAAAAAACCAAAGUCACCGGACAGUAAGUGUUUUCCGUCACCUCAUGUCCGAUUCUUCCUUCUUCGUUUGGUGAUGUUAGAUCAGAUGACGUUUCACUGGUCAAUAAAAGCCGAUCAUCCCGUCAUGGAGGCAAGGGGGGAGGAGGUAACAUUAAUAUAUGUACACAUGGGAGACCCCCUCACCACCUUUCCAGUAUGCCCCUUCCAGAGGCCUCUGUCUCCUACUGCCA